CACCCGGUCCCAUACCGAACCCGGAAGUUAAGCCUUUCAGCGCCGAUGGUACUGCAACCGAGAGGUUGUGGGAGAGUAGGACGCCGCCGGAC
rnacentral:rRNA from 2 species